GACGAACGCUGGCGGCGUGCUUAACACAUGCAAGUCGAACGAUGAACCCGGAGCUUGCUCCGGUGGAUUAGUGGCGAACGGGUGAGUAACACGUGAGUAACCUGCCCUUGACUCUGGGAUAACUGCGGGAAACUGUAGCUAAUACCGGAUACGACCCUCGGCGGCAUCGCCAGGGGGUGGAAAGAAUUUCGGUCAAGGAUGGACUCGCGGCCUAUCAGCUAGUUGGUGAGGUAACGGCUCACCAAGGCGACGACGGGUAGCCGGCAUGAGAGGGGGAACGGCCACACUGGGACUGAGACACGGACCAGAGUCCGACGGGAGGCAGCAGGGGGGAAUAUUGCACAAUGGGCGCAAGCCUGAUGCAGCAACGCCGCGUGAGGGAUGACGGCCUUCGGGUUGUAAACCGCUUUUAGUAGGGAAGAAGCGAAAGUGACGGUACCUGCAGAAAAAGCACCGGCUAACUACGCGCCAGCCGCCGCCGUAA
rnacentral:rRNA from 1 species